rnacentral:rRNA from 1 species
AUACGGAGGAUCCGAGCGUUAUCCGGAUUUAUUGGGUUUAAAGGGUGCGUAGGCUGUGCGUUAAGUCAGGGGUGAAAUGCCGUCGCUCAACGACGGAGCUGCCCUUGAUACUGGCGUGCUGGAGUACGGAUGCCGUUGGAGGAAUGAGUGGUGUAGCGGUGAAAUGCUUAGAUAUCACUCAGAACACCGAUUGCGAAGGCAUCUGACGAAUCCGUCACUGACGCUGAGGCACGAAAGCGUGGGGAUAGAACAGGAUUAGAUACCCUGGUAUUCCACGCCGUAAACGAUGAUGACUAACCGUCGGCGAUAGACAGCCGGUGGCCAAGCGAAAGCGAUAAGUCAUCCACCUGGGGAGUACGUCGGCAACGAUGAAACUCAAAUGAAUUGACGGGG